GAUCCGUUUCCAUCAGUCCUUACAGCCGCUCCUCAGACCCCAGCAGCAAAGAUGAUGAAGCAGAUCGAGAGCAAGGCUGCUUUUCAGGAAGCCUUGAACACCACAGGUGAUAAACUUGUAGUAGUUGACUUCUCAGCCACGUGGUGUGGGCCUUGCAAAAUGAUCAAGCCUUUCUUUCAUUCCCUCUCUGAAAAGUCAAAUGCAUGCCAACAUUCCAGUUUUUUAAGAAGGGACAAAAGGUGGGUGAAUUUUCUGGAGCCAAUAAGGAAAAGCUUGAAGCCACCAUUAAUGAAUUAGUCUAAUCAUGUUUUCUGAAAACAUAACCAGCCAUUGGCUAUUUAAAACUUGUAAUUUUUUUAAUUUACAAAAAUAUAAAAUAUGAAGACAUAAACCCAGUUGCCAUCUGCGUGACAAUAAAACAUUAAU